UACAGAGGUGCCGAGCGUUAGGCGGAAUCACUGGGCUUAAAGCGUGUGUAGGCGGACUUCUAAAUACCUUGUGAAAUCCCACGGCUCACCCGUGGAACUGCUGGGUAUACUGGUCGUCUUGAGCCACCUAGGGGCGAGCGGAACAAAUGGUGGAGCGGUGAAAUGCGUAGAUAUCAUUUGGAACGCCAACGGUGAAAACAGCUCGCUGGGGGUGUGCUGACGCUGAGACACGAAAGCCAGGGUAGCGAACGGG
rnacentral:rRNA from 1 species